rnacentral:lncRNA from 1 species
UUUUGAUAAAGUAGAGGUCCAAUCAACUUGAAACUUAGUAUACAUGUUCCCUUUGAUAAGAUCAUUCUAAUUUUAAUGCCAAAUUAGAGAAUUUAUUCCAAUUUCACGUUCCACUAAACAUAGAAAAUGAUAGUGCGAGUGGGGCAUCCGUGUACUGUGGACACAUUCUUGUUUAGUAUUUCUAGGACAUUAGCGACAACAUGUGCAAUAUACAUAUUACAUUAGUAGGUUGUUUCAUUAUACAAAAUGUUUUAAUAUUAAACGAAUGUUCUGAUUAUAAUUUUUAAAGUAAUCACAAAACUUGUGCAAUGAUAACUUAUGAGUAAAUCAGGUUGUUAUACAUGUUAUUUGAUAAUAUUAAUAUGAUCAAGUAGAUAUUUAAAAUCAUUUAUGAAAAGAUAGGUCUCAAUUCACACAAUUUGAGCAAGAGUUACUGCCCUUUUGUUACUAUGAUAGAGGUCUUUAUGAGAAAUCAUUUUUGUAAAGAAAGGUCUCAAUUCACACAAUUUGAGCAAGCGAUACUGCUCUUUUUUGGUCUCCAUAAUGGAGGAUAUUGUGCACAAAACCAUUCAUAAAUCAGAUUUGCCACACUACAUGUAUUCUGGUGUUGAGACGUUUGAAAAAGUUGUUUUUUGAACAAUUUAAAAUUCUCUUGUUCUCUCUCAUCUUCAAUUUGGUUAGUCAAAUAAGAACCAUUAACCCUUCUAAAUGACACCCAAGGGAAAUAGGUCACACCCAAAAAAAACCAGAUUAGAUAUUUAUUAUAAUAACCUGUCAUAAAAGAUGAUAAUAUUAUUUUACCUUUUUUUGUUUUUUUGUUUUUGCAUUUGUUUAUAACAUAAAAUUUGUAUUUCCAUUGGGCAUAAAUCAUAUCAUUUCAUGCCUUUGUCUUUAAAAAGAACAAAUUCAUCAUAGCUUCAUUAUUGAACUCUCUAGGAAAUUAAUAUACCAUGUAUUUGUUGAUCAUUUUGCAAGUCAAAGACUUUUACAUUAAAAUAUAUAUAAAACAG